CUGGUGGCAGCCAUGGAGCACCUAGGGGCUUCAUUAAGUGUCAGAUAUCCCUGACGGCUUCAUACCUGACCACAUAACCAUGGGCUCUGAAGAGGGGAAAAAAAGGAACAGGCUACAUCCGGUAGUGGCCCGGGUGUUCAACAAAUGCCAUUUUCCACAUGCAGUCCAGGAGGGAGACGUAUAACUAUACUGUAGAUUUGAUAUUUUUACAAGGCCUUUAGCCACAGUGUGCCCACAGCGCACUGCUCGUAAUUCUGCAGGUAAAUUUCACUCUUUCGCAUCGCUUAGCCCACAGCACCUUAACAACUUGAAGUCAUCAAUCUGAAGUCAUUUUUAGAACAUAGUUGUACCGGUCUCACUGAAACAAACAGCAGAUUGGACCAGCAUGUCUAUUGGACUCCUGCAGAAAAUCAUGGUGAACAGACAGACAAAUGCACACUGGAGCACAUUAUGUUGCUAGUCACACAGAGGAUAUUUUCAGAGAGGCUGAGUUGUUUUCACCCCCCCAUCUAGUCAUGACAUUCUGAUAAAUCGCAAAAGCAGUAACCUGUGGCGCAGGAUCAAAGCUAAAUUGAAAGAGCGCCAAGACUAAUAUAAAAUUGGUGGAGUAAAUGCAUGUACUGUAAUAAUGUAUGUAAAUAAUUUGUGUAUGUAAGUAGUGUAUAUAAAAUAACCCAGUGCAACUUUUUUUUCCAUAAGAUUCUGUUGCCUUUCUGUGAAUGCAUAUAAAAAAGGUUAAGGUAUGUUGUGUCACUUGAAGUAAAUUAAACUGUGCUCAACACUAAA